rnacentral:rRNA from 1 species
AUUGAACGCUGGCGGCAUGCCUUACACAUGCAAGUCGAACGGCAGCACGGGGGCAACCCUGGUGGCGAGUGGCGAACGGGUGAGUAACAUAUCGGAACAUACCCUAGAGUGGGGGAUAACGUAGCGAAAGUUACGCUAAUACCGCAUACGAUCUAAGGAUGAAAGUGGGGGGAUCUUCGGACCUCAUGCUCAUGGAGUGGCCGAUAUCUGAUUAGCUAGUUGGUGAGGUAAAGGCUCACCAAGGCGACGAUCAGUAGCUGGUUUGAGAGAACGACCAGCCACACUGGAACUGAGACACGGUCCAGACUCCUACGGGAGGCAGCAGUGGGGAAUUUUGGGACAAUGGGGGCAACCCUGAUCCAGCAAUGCCGCGUGAGUGAAGAAGGCCUUCGGGUUGUAACCACUUUGUCAGGAAGAACGGCCUUUCUAAUACAAGGGCGUAAUGACGGUACCGUGAAGAAUAAGCACCGGCUAACUACGU